AGUUUGAUCAUGGCUCAGAAUCAACGCUGGCGGCGUGCCUCAGACAUGCAAGUCGAACGAUUAAAGCUCUCUUCGGAGAGUGUAUAGAGUGGCGCACGGGUGAGUAACACGUAAGUAAUCUACCCUCGAGUGGGGAAUAACAACCGGAAACGGUUGCUAAUACCGCAUAAUGCAGCGGCACCGCAAGGUGACAGUUGUUAAAGAUUUAUCGCUUGAGGAGGAGCUUGCGGCAGAUUAGCUAGUUGGUAGGGUAACGGCUUACCAAGGCUACGAUCUGUAACCGGUCUAAGAGGACGGUCGGUCACACUGACACUGAAUAACGGGUCAGACUCCUACGGGAGGCAGCAGUCGGAAUUUUGGGCAAUGGGCGAAAGCCUGACCCAGCAACGCCGCGUGAAGGAUGAAGUAUUUCGGUAUGUAAACUUCGAAAGAAUAGGAAGAAUUAAUGACGGUACUAUUUAUAAGGUCCGGCUAACUACGUG
rnacentral:rRNA from 1 species